AUUGAACGCUGGCGGCAGGCCUAACACAUGCAAGUCGAGCGGGGUUUUCGGACCUAGCGGCGGACGGGUGAGUAAUGCGUAGGAAGCUACCCGAUAGAGGGGGAUACCAGUUGGAAACGACUGUUAAUACCGCAUAAUGUCUACGGGCCAAAGUGUGGGACCUUCGGGCCACAUGCUAUCGGAUGCGCCUACGUGGGAUUAGCUAGUUGGUGAGGUAAUGGCUCACCAAGGCGACGAUCCCUAGCUGGUUUGAGAGGAUGAUCAGCCACACUGGAACUGAGACACGGCCCAUACUCCUACGGGAGGCAGCAGUGGGGAAUAUUGGACAAUGGGCGCAAGCCUGAUCCAGCCAUGCCGCGUGUGUGAAGAAGGCCUUCGGGUUGUAAAGCACCUUCAGUAGGGAGGAAGCGUUGUGUGUUAAUAGUACACAGCGUUGACGUUACCUACAGAAGAAGCACCGGCUAACUCUGUGCCAGCCGCCGCAGUAACAC
rnacentral:rRNA from 1 species